UUGAACACAGUUUUAGCACGUCUAUCUCUGCUCGUAAUUCGUAACAUGGCCGAAGUUUUCUACGCUCCAAGACCGCAGACUGGUCAUAGCAGACUUGAGAGAAUUCGCCACUUCCCCAAGUUACCAUCAGGUCUUUGUUUCUCCCAAGCUCCAGCUAACGAAAAAAAAAACGCAACAUGGUCGGAAGGAUUCGAACCUGCGAGCAAGAUUCAAAAUUUUA
rnacentral:lncRNA from 1 species